UACGAGUGCCCCGAGCGUUAUCCGGAAUUAUUGGGCGUAAAGGAUGUGUAGGUGGUGUUGUUAGUCUUUUGUUAAAACCCCGAGCUUAACUCGGGGACUGCGAAGGAAACGGCAACGCUAGAGGGUGCGAGGGGUGAAUGGAACUCAUGGUGUAGGGGUGAAAUCCGUUGAUAUCAUGGGGAACACCAAAAGCGAAGGCAAUUCACUGGCGCAUUUCUGACACUGAAACAUGAAAGCGUGGGUAGCGAAUGGG
rnacentral:rRNA from 1 species